CCAGACUCCUACGGGAGGCAGCAGUGGGGAAUUUUGGACAAUGGGCGCAAGCCUGAUCCAGCUAUUCCGCGUGUGGGAUGACGGCCCUCGGGUUGUAAACCACUUUAGUAGAGAACGAAAAGGAGCUAUCGAAUAAAUAGCUCUGCUGACGGUACUCUAAGAAUAAGCACCGGCUAACUACGUGCCAGCAGCCGCGGUAAUACGUAGGGUGCGAGCGUUAUCCGGAUUUAUUGGGUUUAAAGGGUGCGUAGGCGGGACCUUAAGUCAGCGGUAAAAUUGCGGUGCUCAACGCCGUAGAGCCGUUGAAACUGGGGUUCUUGAGUGAGCGAGAAGUAUGCGGAAUGCGUGGUGUAGCGGUGAAAUGCAUAGAUAUCACGCAGAACCCCGAUUGCGAAGGCAGCAUACCGGCGCUCAACUGACGCUGAGGCACGAAAGUGCGGGUAUCGAACAGGAUUAGAUACCCGUGUAGU
rnacentral:rRNA from 1 species